rnacentral:rRNA from 1 species
AUUGAACGCUGGCGGCAGGCCUAACACAUGCAAGUCGAGCGGCAGCGGGAAAGUAGCUUGCUACUUUUGCCGGCGAGCGGCGGACGGGUGAGUAAUGCCUGGGAAAUUGCCCAGUCGAGGGGGAUAACAGUUGGAAACGACUGCUAAUACCGCAUACGCCCUACGGGGGAAAGCAGGGGACCUUCGGGCCUUGCGCGAUUGGAUAUGCCCAGGUGGGAUUAGCUAGUUGGUGAGGUAAUGGCUCACCAAGGCGACGAUCGCUAGCUGGUCUGAGAGGAUGAUCAGCCACACUGGAACUGAGACACGGUCCAGACUCCUACGGGAGGCAGCAGUGGGGAAUAUUGCACAAUGGGGGAAACCCUGAUGCAGCCAUGCCGCGUGUGUGAAGAAGGCCUUCGGGUUGUAAAGCACUUUCAGCGAGGAGGAAAGGUUGAUGCCUAAUACGUAUCAACUGUGACGUUACUCGCAGAAGAAGCACCGGCUAACUCCGUGCCAGCCGCCGCGGUAAGAC